rnacentral:lncRNA from 12 species
GGGGGCGGAGGGCUUGUUUUAAACAAAGUUGUUGCAACAUGCCCCAGCAGGAAGAGCAGUGUGGGAAACGCUCUUCUGCUUUGAUCCUCGGCUGCUCCUCGCAGAAGGAGCCGGUAUAAUUACGCCGUUGGUCCUCCAGGAUGGGUGGUAUGGGGGAUCUGCCCUUCUGUAAACACUAAUGGUGAGCAACACUCAGGAAGUUGUUCAGGAAGCUGUUUGGUUACCUGGUUUCUCAGUCUUUCCUCCUUGGUGUUGUGACUGUAAACUGAUCAGAGGUUGUCUUAAAGGAAUAAUACCCGAAAAUGAAAAUGUACUCACCCUCAGGGCAUCCGAGAUGUAGAGGAGAUUGUUUCUUCAUCAGAUUUGGAGAAAUGUGAAGCAUUACAUCACUUGCUCACCAAUGGAUCCUCUGCAGUGAAUGGGUGCCGUCAGAAUGAGAGUCCAAACAGCUGAUAAAAACAUCACAAUAAUCCACAAGACUCCAGUCCAUCAACCCUGAAGCCAAAAGCUGCAAACAAAUCCAUCAUUAAAAUGGUUUAACUUUAAUCCGUCUCUUCUGGUCAAAAUAUGAGUCUAUUAUCCUUUUGUCUUCUCACAUCAAAAUUCACCCACAUAUUUGUUUAGAGCUGUUUUGGACUGCAACAGUGCUUGCAUAUUUCUCACCUGAUUCAGAUGAGGUGACUUUUGGAGAAAACAAUAUUACAGAUAGAGGACUCAUUUGAAAUGAUAAACAUCUUAAUGGUGGAUUUGUUUCUUACAGACAUGCAGCUUUUGGCUUCAGAAGACAUUAAUUGAUGGACUGGAGUGCUGUGGAUUAUUAUGAUGUUUUAAUCAGCUGUUUGGACUUUCAUUCUGACGGCACCCAUUCACUGCAGAGGAUCCACUGGCUAAAUUUCUCCACAUUUGUUCUGAUGUAGAAACAAACUCAUCUACAUCUUGGACGGUGGUGUGUAAAUUCUCAGCAAAUUUUUAUUUUUGGGUUAACAAUUUCUUUAAGAUCCUUCAACUAACCAAAGAAUAUAAAAACAGCUCACUUGAUACCAAAUAACUAAUAUCGCUCUUUUAUGUGCAUGAAUGAAAGCACUCAUAAUUUGACGUGGCAAGUAUUCAAAUACACUUUAUAAGGAGUGUCUAAACAAACAUUGGUGUAGCAAUAGACAUCAGAUCCAUUCAUUCUUCUAAUACAGUGUCAAUAUCCCACUGGCAAAAAUCUCUCAUUAUUCACAAAGGGGUGUUAGGAAUGAAAUGGCAAAUCAAUAUUUGCUCCGUCAAUGUUUAUUAAUAGUCACUUGACAUUUGCUUGUGUGUUUCUUUUAGUUAUGGCUUAAAAGUCCUUGCGCAGGUGUGGCCUGUAUCAAUAGCAGUUUUCCUUUUCUGCUGUACUUAUAAAGUAUUUAUAUUUUGCACAGGAAAUGACAUGUGUGUUCAGUGUCUGACAGGUGUGUAUGUGGCUGAGUUGAUAAAGGGGGUUGUUUUGGAUUACUUUGAGUAUAUGAGUAUUUAAAGCAAGCGAGAUGUUCCGUUCCUGUGUGCUUUCGCCGAUUAAAU